rnacentral:rRNA from 1 species
GACGAACGCUGGCGGCGUGCUUAACACAUGCAAGUCGAACGGUAAGGCCCUGCUUUUGUGGGGUGCUCGAGUGGCGAACGGGUGAGUAACACGUGAGUAACCUGCCCUUGACUUUGGGAUAACUUCAGGAAACUGGGGCUAAUACCGGAUAGGAGCUCCUGCUGCAUGGUGGGGGUUGGAAAGUUUCGGCGGUUGGGGAUGGACUCGCGGCUUAUCAGCUUGUUGGUGGGGUAGUGGCUUACCAAGGCUUUGACGGGUAGCCGGCCUGAGAGGGUGACCGGCCACAUUGGGACUGAGAUACGGACCAGACUCCUACGGGAGGCAGCAGUGGGGAAUAGUGCACAAUGGGCGGAAGCCUGAUGCAGCAACGCCGCGUGCGGGAUGACGGCCUUCGGGUUGUAAACCGCUUUCGCCUGUGACGAAGCGUGAGUGACGGUAAUGGGUAAAGAAGCACCGGCUAACUACGUG